rnacentral:misc_RNA from 1 species
GAUGAAGAACGUAGCAAAAUGCGAUAAGUAAUGUGAAUUGCAGAAUUCAGUGAAUCAUCGAAUCUUUGAACGCACAUUGCGCCCGCCAGUAUUCUGGCGGGCAUGCCUGUUCGAGCGUCAUUUCAACCCUCAAGCACAGCUUGGUGUUGGGACUCGCGUUAAUUCGCGUUCCCCAAAUUGAUUGGCGGUCACGUCGAGCUUCCAUAGCGUAGUAGUAAAACCCUCGUUACUGGUAAUCGUCGCGGCCACGCCGUUAAACCCCAACUUCUGAAGGUUGACCUCGGAUCAGGUAGGAAUACCCGCUGAACUUAAGCAUAUCAAUAAGCGGAGGA